rnacentral:rRNA from 1 species
UGGGGAAUAUUGGACAAUGGGCGCAAGCCUGAUCCAGCCAUGCCGCGUGAGUGAUGAAGGCCCUAGGGUUGUAAAGCUCUUUCACCGGUGAAGAUAAUGACGGUAACCGGAGAAGAAGCCCCGGCUAACUUCGUGCCAGCAGCCGCGGUAAUACGAAGGGGGCUAGCGUUGUUCGGAUUUACUGGGCGUAAAGCGCACGUAGGCGGACUAUUAAGUCAGGGGUGAAAUCCCGGGGCUCAACCCCGGAACUGCCUUUGAUACUGGUAGUCUUGAGUUCGAGAGAGGUGAGUGGAAGUCCGGGUGUAGAGGUGAAAUUCGUAGAUAUUCGGAGGAACACCAGUGGCGAAGGCGGCUCACUGGCUCGAUACUGACGCUGAGGUGCGAAAGCGUGGGGAGCAAACAGG